rnacentral:rRNA from 1 species
AUUAGAUACCCUGGUAGUCCACGCCGUAAACGAUGUCUACUUGAAGGUUGUGGCCUUGAGCCGUGGCUUUCGGAGCUAACGCGUUAAGUAGACCGCCUGGGGAGUACGGUCGCAAGAUUAAAACUCAAAUGAAUUGACGGGGGCCCGCACAAGCGGUGGAGCAUGUGGUUUAAUUCGAUGCAACGCGAAGAACCUUACCUACUCUUGACAUCCAGAGAAUUCGCUAGAGAUAGCUUAGUGCCUUCGGGAACUCUGAGACAGGUGCUGCAUGGCUGUCGUCAGCUCGUGUUGUGAAAUGUUGGGUUAAGUCCCGCAACGAGCGCAACCCUUAUCCUUGUUUGCCAGCACGUAAUGGUGGGAACUCCAGGGAGACUGCCGGUGAUAAACCGGAGGAAGGUGGGGACGACGUCAAGUCAUCAUGGCCCUUACGAGUAGGGCUACACACGUGCUACAAUGGCGUAUACAGAGGGCUGCCAACCAGCGAUGGUGAGCGAAUCCCACAAAGUACGUCGUAGUCCGGAUCGGAGUCUGCAACUCGACUCCGUGAAGUCGGAAUCGCUAGUAAUCGUGAAUCAGAAUGUCACGGUGAAUACGUUCCCGGGCCUUGUACACACCGCCCGUCACACCAUGGGAGUGGGCUGCACCAGAAGUAGAUAGCUUAACCUUCGGGAGGGCGUUUACCACGGUGUGGUUCAUGACUGGGGUGAAGUCGUAACAAGGUAACCGUA